UACGUAGGGUGCAAACGUUGUUCGGAAUUACUGGGCGUAAAGCGUGUGUAGGCGGUUUGGCAAGUCGGAUGUGAAAGCCCCGGGCUCAACUCGGGAAGUGCACUCGAUACUGCUAAACUUGAGUGUCGGAGAGGUUGGUGGAAUUCUCGGUGUAGAGGUGAAAUUCGUAGAUAUCGAGAGGAACACCGGUGGCGAAGGCGGCCAACUGGACGAACACUGACGCUGAGACACGAAAGCGUGGGGAGCAAACAGG
rnacentral:rRNA from 1 species